UACGUAGGGUGCGAGCGUUAAUCGGAAUUACUGGGCGUAAAGUGUGCGCAGGCGGCCAUGCAAGUCGAGUGUGAAAGCCCCGGGCUUAACUUGGGAAUUGCGCUCGAAACUACGUGGCUGGAGUGUGGCAGAGGAAGGUGGAAUUCCACGUGUAGCGGUGAAAUGCGUAGAGAUGUGGAGGAACACCACUGGCGAAGGCAGCCUUCUGGGCCAACACUGACGCUCAUGCCCGAAAGCGUGGGGAGCAAACAGG
rnacentral:rRNA from 1 species